UGCCAGAUUCUGACAAAAACAAAGGUGG
rnacentral:piRNA from 1 species